GAUGAACGCUGGCGGCGUGCCUAAUACAUGCAAGUCGAGCGAACGGACGAGAAGCUUGCUUCUCUGAUGUUAGCGGCGGACGGGUGAGUAACACGUGGAUAACCUACCUAUAAGACUGGGAUAACUUCGGGAAACCGUAGCUAAUACCGGAUAAUAUUUUGAACCGCAUGGUUCAAAAGUGAAAGACGGUCUUGCUGUCACUUAUAGAUGGAUCCGCGCUGCAUUAGCUAGUUGGUAAGGUAACGGCUUACCAAGGCAACGAUGCAUAGCCGACCUGAGAGGGUGAUCGGCCACACUGGAACUGAGACACGGUCCAGACUCCUACGGGAGGCAGCAGUAGGGAAUCUUCCGCAAUGGGCGAAAGCCUGACGGAGCAACGCCGCGUGAGUGAUGAAGGUCUGCGGAUCGUAAAACUCUGUUAUUAGGGAAGAACAUAUGUGUAAGUAACUGUGCACAUCUGGACGGUACCUAAUCAGAAAGCCACGGCUAACUACGG
rnacentral:rRNA from 1 species